UUGGAAUUUGCUUAAGCACUGAGAGUGCUGGAAGCCAGGAAGCAGUGUGAAGAUGCUGACAGUCUGGGAUUUCUGUUCCUGGGAAAAUGAACUCUUGCCGAAAGAGCAGUGGGUGGGUCCCACAGACCCUGCUCGGAGCUAUUUUUAGAGCAUUUGUCCCUGACUCCCACCUAGUGGCUUCUUCCAGCACUGCACAGGGACAAAGAACCACCACUGAUGCCACCUGAGCCCGGCCCAGGAGCCCCUUGGGAGCUGAGCGCAGAAAGAAAGCACGGACACACCUACUCCUUUCUCAUCUCUCACUCAAGUUCACACCUGUCACAGGGGAGGCAAAGUCCUGGCCAACAGCACUCCUACUUCUGCCAACUGUGCUGGCCCAGCUGUGCUUUAGCUCUGCCAGGACCCAGAAGAAGAGGAACCAGCCCUACCACAAAGAAACAGCUACCCAAUAGGAGGCACUAGGACUAGGAGUGCCCUUUUCAUGUAAGACAUAGAGAGCCCAGGACUAGUCUGCUAUUUGUCCUAUUCUAACUAUGGACCACUCCUCCACAUCUACCCCUGCUUCUCAGCAGCCCAUUCUUCUGAUGGACCACAGAUGCUCCAGUGCCAGAAGAUCUGCAGUCCCAGAUGAGCAGCAGCAGUACAAGAUACAUUUCCCACUAUGUAAUCCCUCCCCUCUGCUAACAGUUGAUUCACUCUGGGGUAGACACUGGACCUAAGGUGUGCAUCCAUAGCUUGUGAAUAAAUUAAAAGUCUUUAAUGUCUAUUUCUUUUACACUUAACGCUUCUUCAUUGAUCUGGAGGACUUCGCUCAAAAAUAAUUAACUGGGUCAAUCAGAUCCUUUUCCUUAGAAACUUGAGUUUAAAAAGAAAACAUAUUGAGAAAACAUGGAAAGAAUUUGUCAGCCAACAAGAGUAAACUCAAACCUAACAGAAGUCUGUGGCAGUCACUCUGAGCUGUCUUCCUGAGGGCCACUUUCCCCCACUCUAUCAUCAUUCUUUUCUGACAGAGGCCACCUCCCUCUAUGGCAGGUGGAAGUGCCAAUACUUGCUUUCCCAGCCUCCCUUGCAGCUAGGGUAUGCACAGGUGAACAAAUUCUGGCCACUGCAGCUAAAUGGGAAGUCUGCUAGGGGGUUGCAGAGAGUUUCCCUCCUGAUUAAAAACAACAAAAACAUACUAAAGAAAUGAUUCUCUACCUCUGCACACAGUUGUAUAGUUGUGUCUUGUAAGGACAUGUUGCCUGCAGUUCUAGUGGCCAUCUUGCAACUGUUAUGGGAUGUGCCUGAGCAAAAACCACCCCUUGAGGAUGGCAAAGAAAAAAGAUGGGAAGAACCAGUACCCAUGAGGUCACUCAGAGCCACUUAUUUAACCCUGGGACUGUCUGUCUUCUGGACAUCUUGUUAGUGGUCUAUCUUGUUAUUGUUUACAUCAUUUUACUGGAAAAAGUAUCCCAACUGAUAUAGGUGUCACGAGGCAGAGUUGGACCAUGUCAGGCCAGUGUCAUGGCCAAGCAGGAAUUCUAGGUGUGAACAAUGCCAAUGUGUCUACAGAGGAGAAGGGAGCAAAUAUGCAAGGGAUGCACAGACAUCAUGCAUGAGAAGGCGCUGGGCAGUGCUGCCUAAUCCUUCAAACCAUCUUACUAGUUCCAACUCCAAUCCUAACCCACAUGGGACUUUAAAAAAAUAAUUCAACUGAGUCUCCAGGGUUGAACGCAGCGCUUCUUAAACUUUAAUGUGCUUACGAGUCACCUGGAGAUGGUUCAGCAAGUGUGAGAUGGGAGCCCAUAGUCUGCAUUUUUCACAAGCUACGAGGGGAUAAGAAAGCUGCUGAGCCACAGACCAAAAUUUGAGCAGCAACAACUUCUAACUAAAAGUGUCAAUCUAAAGCACUUGAUGAGUUUGCUCACCAGUCUGAAUUCUAUUCCCAUACAGAUUAAGACCUUGUGUGGAAUGUGGAUGUGCUGAUCAUAAAAUGACUUUAGGUCUGCAAGAUCUAAAACACAGACAGGCUAUCUCUGUCCAGAAUAAAAACCUUAACAUGCAGCCCUUACAACUUGGAAUGUUUAUAUGAACUUCUGACCCCCUAAAAGUACUUGCUUCGCCAUGCAUAGGUUAGUGAUGGCCAUAAUUACUCUAGAAGAUUUAUGAAUGCAAUCACUUUUAGGGAAAUCUCUUCAAAGGAAGGCAUUCCCUAAACCAUUGUAAAUAACCCCAAGACAAAACUGCAAAUCUGAAUGCAAGCUGUUUUCUACCAAUGCAUCUUGAAAAAACCAACAACAAUGUCAACUGCCUUUGGAUCAAAAAUAUUUUUAAUAAAUUUCCAAAAACUGUUUUAAAAGUUAGAUUCAUUGUUUAUACCAAAUGCUAAAAAAUAUUGUUGAUGGAUUGGAGUUAACCAUAAAAUAAAAAUCAAACCAUAAACUUACUAGAGGAAGAUACAGGUGAACAGUUAUCUGUUCUGAGGUUGGGAAAGGCGUUGCUAGGGCCAAAAGGAAAACAAGAAACCAAAAUAGGAAAGACUGAUAGAGUCAAGUACAGUUGUUUAAAAUUCUGUGUCUCAGAAAGCACCUAAACGUUAUUUAAAAACAGAGUGAGGAAAAUAUAUGCUACAAAUAAAGCAAACGGCUAAUAAAAGGUCAUUCAAAUAGAUAAGAAAAACACUAAAAUCCUAAUAGAAAACAACAGCAUAGACUACGAAUAGACUAGAGUGGGAGAGGUGCAUCCAAGAGGCUCAAGGUGAUUUCUGGGUGUACAGGGAAAAAUAUGGGAACUAUUUUUUAACCUAUCCUUUAAAACUCUAUUUUGGUGAACAGUGGAUACCCUAAAUACCCUGACUGACUUGAUCACUAUGUGUUAUAUACAUGUAAGGAAAUUUCACAUGUACCCCAC
rnacentral:lncRNA from 10 species